rnacentral:lncRNA from 1 species
CUAUGUCACAAUGGCAUCAAUAAGGUAACUCGAGAGGUAGAAGCUGUGAGUUGCUUCUAUGAGUAACUCUUUAAUCUCCGUUCAUUUCCAGCACAAACUGUGUGAUGCAGUCCCAGUGGGAUGCCCUCCUCCUCACACAACCAUGAGGUUGCCACAUUUGACUGCCUCUAUGCUUGUUCUUGAAAGCAGUCCAUCAGACCAAUGUGGUCCAUCAGAGUCAGCUGCUGAAAACCCUGAAAAUUCCCAUAAUCCUGGAUUCUGCUAGAGACAUCCCUUCCUUUCCUAUUAUUGGGACAUGGGGAGGGUAUGCAGAGAGGUGCUUGCCAUUGCUGUAUGUGCAGUCACAGUAAAUCCACGAACCACAGCCCUGACAGUGUUAAUAGGUUGCCAGAUAGAAAAAUCUCCUUGUGCAACCAGCAGCCUGCCGGCCAGGCUGCCAUCUCAAGACGUGUGCUUGGGGGCACGGGUCCGUCAGGCUGGAGGUGUGGUGAAGUGUCAGCCUGAAGCAUCGUCAAGGCAAGAGCUCUUGGGCUGAGUUGUCUGGUCAUAAUUUCCUACCUCAUGAGGCAUCGUUGACAUGGAGGACUUUACAAGGGGACAUUACUUAAUAUGCAGGAUUGUUUAAUAUUAGGACAUGAGGGUUUCCCAUCUCAUGACUAUAAUAUAAUCUGCUUCCUUAUUAAGUGUAGCAUAUUAAUUUAUUGCUGCUAUUAAUAUGAAGCUCUCACAUUGGCAAGAAAAAUGCAAGCUACCUUUUGUCUCCGUACUCUGUCUUUGCAUUGGAAGUGUUAAUUUAAAGAUUCGUCUGAGGUUGCAUGCUUAUUUCUCCAACUGUAGCAAUUAUUUUGUGGUUUGUAAUGCCACUGAUACGAUAAACAAUAUUUAUGCCUCACUGUAAAACAUUUUAUAACUUUCUUUUAAUUGCUUUCUCAGUCUUUAAAACUGUAGCUUAGCACUUCAAUAAUAAGCUUAUUAAUUUGUUUAGCGUUUAAGUUCUUACAAAGAAAGAGACAAGCAUUAAUUUUGUUUAGUUAAAACAAGCUUUGCUUUUGAACAGCAGGUGGUAAUUGAAACAAAACAAGGGCUCAUUAGAGGAGCGUCUGGUGGCUCAUGAUACAAACAGAGCACACUACAAAACCCAAACACAAGAGCCCUGAAAUAAAGUGGUCAUCAUCUAAUUAACA